rnacentral:pre_miRNA from 1 species
GUGUUUGCGGAUGUUGCAUCAUCAAGAUUCACAGACUUCUAAGAGAUAGUCUUUUGGGUGGUGGUGGUGGUGGUGGUGGUGGUCCCAUCAGCUUCCAUGAUCACUCUAGAAGACUAGCUCCCUUUCUCUCUCUUGAUUAAUUAUGAGAAUCCUGAUGAUGCUGCAUCGGCAAUUAA